UGAGGAUAAAUGGCGCAUGCAUUCCUGCUCCUGGUGUGCUGCCUCCCACAGAUGUAGUUGUGUUUGAGCUGAUGUAUUACAUUUGCCUGAGUGUCUGGCAAUGAAGAUUCCUGAAGAACAGUGUCGAGAGAAACUUGUCUUGGCAGACGUGUAGAAAAGCAGAGAAAAAUAAGCUUCCACUGGAUGUAGCUGAAGGUUUCACACCAUGAGAGAAAAUGCCAGCCAGAUAUGAUUGGGCUACAAAGAUAAGAGGGUGAUGUCUUCCGUGGAGGCCUGCAGCUACUGGAGGGCAUGUAGGGGUAUUGCCACCCCAUUUGCAUUUCGAAGCAACAUAAAUGAAAAUAUUG